rnacentral:rRNA from 1 species
AUUGAACGCUGGCGGAAUGCCUUACACAUGCAAGUGGAACGGUAACAGGUCUUCGGAUGCUGACGAGUGGCGAACGGGUGCGUAAUACAUCGGAACGUGCCUAGUAGUGGGGGAUAACUACUCGAAACAGUGGCCAAUACCCCAUGAGAUCUAAGGAUCAAAGCAGGGGAUCGCAAGACCCUGUGAUACUCGAGAGGCCGAUGUCAGAUUAGGUCGUGGGUGGGAUAAAAGCUUACCAAGGCGACGAUCUGUAACUGGUCUGAGAGGACGCUCAGCCAGACUGGGACUUAGACACGGUCCAGACGCCUACUGGAGGCAGCAGUGGGGAAUAUUGGACAAUGGGCGCAAGCCUGAUCCAGCAAUGCCGCGUGCAGGAUGAAGGCCUUCGGGUUGUAAACUGCUUUUGUACGGAACGAAAAGCCCUGGGUUAAUGCCCUGGAGACAUGACGCUACCGUAAGAAUAAGCACCGGCUAACUACGUGCCAGCCGCCGCCGUAACAC